rnacentral:rRNA from 1 species
CCAGACUCCUACGGGAGGCAGUGGGGAAUAUUGCACAAUGGGGGGAACCCUGAUGCAGCGACGCCGCGUGGGUGAAGAAGUCAUUCGUGACGUAACGCCCUAUCAGCAGGGAAGAAAAUGACGGUACCUGACUAAGAAGCCCCGGCUAACUACGUGCCAGCAGCCGCGGUAAUACGUAGGGGGCAAGCGUUGUUCGGAAUGACUGGGCGUAAAGGGUGCGUAGGCGGUGUAGCAAGUUAGAAGUGAAAUACCUAGAGCUUAACUCAGGUGCUGCUUCUAAAACUGCUAUACUUGAGUGCAGUAGAGGAAAGUGGAAUUCCUAGUGUAGCGGUGGAAUGCGUAGAUAUUAGGAGGAACAUCAGUGGCGAAGGCGGCUUUCUGGACUGUAACUGACGCUGAGGCACGAAAGUGUGGGGAGCAAACAGGAUUAGAUACCCCUGUAA